CACUUUUAUCUUCUCUAUAUUGCUGUUGUUUCUGGCCCUUGGAGGUUAUUUGAGUUAGAUUAUUGCUACAAAGAUGAAAUGGCCUACAAAGCUUGCAAGAUUUACUAUCUGGCCCUCUAUAGAAGAAUUUUCCAACCUCUGGAUCAGAUAGAAGAAGAUUGCAUUCUGAGGUCAAUGAUCAGGUUUCCGUGGCAAGCCUUGUCUAUCUUCCAGGAUUCCCUCUUAUUCCUUCUUUGGAUGUCUUAUCCAGCAUAAGGGAAUGUUCUUUUCACUUAAUAAAGUAUAUUUAUAUGGAAGAACUAACAGACAA